AAGAACUUGGCGGUUCCACAAAACCAUCCAGAGGCUCUUGGCGCUUAAACCGAUGAUCCGCGUGAUAUCUUACCCACUCUAUAUGGUAAUGUACUGCCGUCGAAAGCUUAUGAUGUGAGUAUAUAAAAAUAGGCUUCACCUUAGGCAUAGAUCAGAUCUCUGUGCUAAGACUAGGUCAGGUCGAAGUGUUCUUUAUGAGUGAGGGGUUAGCUGAGAGACAAUUUUUAAGAUAUAACAAGCUUUAAAAUGAAAUUUUUAUAGCGAGGCGGAUUUGGGAGUAAA
rnacentral:rRNA from 1 species